rnacentral:rRNA from 1 species
UAGGGAAUCUUCCACAAUGGACGCAAGUCUGAUGGAGCAACGCCGCGUGAGUGAAGAAGGUCUUCGGAUCGUAAAGCUCUGUUGUUGGUGAAGAAGGAUAGAGGCAGUAACUGGUCUUUAUUUGACGGUAAUCAACCAGAAAGUCACGGCUAACUACGUGCCAGCAGCCGCGGUAAUACGUAGGUGGCAAGCGUUGUCCGGAUUUAUUGGGCGUAAAGCGAGCGCAGGCGGAAUGAUAAGUCUGAUGUGAAAGCCCACGGCUCAACCGUGGAACUGCAUCGGAAACUGUCAUUCUUGAGUGCAGAAGAGGAGAGUGGAACUCCAUGUGUAGCGGUGGAAUGCGUAGAUAUAUGGAAGAACACCAGUGGCGAAGGCGGCUCUCUGGUCUGCAACUGACGCUGAGGCUCGAAAGCAUGGGUAGCGAGCAGGAUUAGAUACCCUGGUAGUCCAUGCCGUAAACGAUGAGCGCUAGGUGUUGGGGACUUUCCGGUCCUCAGUGCCGCAGCAAA